GUUUGGUCAGGCGGCCAGCUCAAGGAAGAGUCUUCGUGGUUCCAAACUUCUUCCAAUUAAGAAUGAUGGGAGGCCAUUGUGUUCUUGGGGACCCUCAAUGGCGCAGCCAUUUUUUGAUACUAUUCCCCAGAUCUUUGACUCGACACAAUCCUGUCUCCGUGCUCUACGGACAAUUCCUUCAACUCAUGGCUUGGUUUCUGCUCUGACAUGCACUGUCUACUGUGGGACCUUAUAUUGACCUGACUGUAUCUCAACCGGCCAUGAUUGGGAGUCCCAUAAUGCAGCGCACAAUUGGACCAGCAUUGUCCGGGUUUGGCCAGUGUAGGCCGUCAUUGCAAAUGAGAAUUUGUUUUUAACUGACUUUAAUAAAGGUUAAAUAAAAAAUAUAUAUUAAAAAAAGACAGGUGUGCCUUUCCAAAUCAUGUCCAAUCAAUUGAAUUUACCACAGGUGGCUCUAAUGAAGUUGUAAAAACCUCUCAAGGAUGAUCAAUGGAAACAGGAUGCACCUGAGCUCAAUUUCAAGUAUUAUACCAAAGGGUCUGAAUACUUAUGUAAAUAAGUAUAUGUUUUUUAUUUUUAAUACAUUUGCUACUCGCUUUGUCAUUAUGGGCUAUUGUGUGUAGAUGUGGGGGAAAAUAUUUAAUCCCUUUUUGGAAUAAGGCUGUAACGUAACAAAAUGUGGAACAUGGGAAGCGAUCUGAAUACUUUAGCAUUUAAUAUUUCUUUUGAUACUUUAGUCAAUUUAAAACCAGUAUUUUUACUCAAGUAGUACUUUACUGGGUGACUUUCACUUUUUAUUAAGGUGUUUUUAGUUUACUCAAGUAUGACAAUUGGAUACUUUUUACACCACUGCAUAUGUGUUACAGUAAAGAGAUGAGUUGAUUGGUCUUUGAGUGCGAUGUUGUGUAUGCGCCACAAGAUGGCAAUCCCCUGCAGACAUUUUGUUUUAAAACGUGGCCCUGAAAUGUAGAAAAGAGGUAGGAGUAGGGCAGGAAAGUUCUGCACAAACUACAAGAGAAGCUUCUUAGAAGUAAGAGGAAACCCAUAACAGUGACAACGUCCUAUAGGGAAAGUACAGGUUAGGCAUUAGGGCUCUUUUCCAAUACACUUUCAGCAGCUGAAAACAUCACCAUACAGUAGUUCGAUUUGAAAACUAAAGAUUGAUUGGGUGAAAUAUAUAUUACAAAUCUAAUGUAAUAUUAAACUAAUUAAUGAUCUAUGUGGGGAGAGUGGGGUAAUUUGAGCCAAAGGGGUAAGUUGAGACACCAGGGUAAGGCAACCUAUUGUGUUUAACACUACAUGAGAUUCACUUGGUCCUAUGGUGUGACCAACAGAUGUAAUAUACUACUCAAAUGAUCACAAUCUAUAACUAACGUAAUUUGUAUUGAAUGAAGAAAUGAAUGAAGAAAACCAUAUAGCAGAGGUGGCACCACAGGUUCAAAAGUGGUAUGGCAAAAAAAAAACUUGUAUAUUUUCUGGGGCCUGGAGUAUUUCCUGAACUCUGGGUCCUAUUUGUAAGCUAUGGCAGGGUCCAAUGUUAUCUUCCCCCCCCUCCUCCUCACUGGCCCGACUGGGUCAGAUAGCCAAAAAUCUACUGGCUCGAACAGAAUUUCUACUUGCCCUGACAUCAGCGUAGUUUUAAAUUCAUUGGGGUCAUACAGGGACUAUAGGUUGGCAUGCUUUCUCUAUAUGCAGCUAUUAAAUAGUCUAUAGGAUAUGUAUUAAAAUGCUGUUUCAUAUAAUUUAGCAAUGUAGGCCAUUACUCUUUUCUUUAGAAUUUUUGCAGACUAUUAACAGUAGCCAGCAUAUUGCUAGUAUGUUCAUCAUUGAAGGUUUACUUUUGAAAAUAACUUUCCCUAAAGGUUUACUUUCGUAAAUUCUCUACUGUUCUCUCUACUACCGCAUGCGGUACCGGAGUGCCAAGUCUUGGACAAAAAGGCUUCAACAGUUUUUACUAUCUGCAUUGUGUCCCGCCACCCCCUCUUUACGCUACUGCUACUCUCUGUUCAUCAUAUGCAUAGUCACUUUAACCAUAUCUACAUAUUACCUCAAUCAGCCUGACUAACCGGUGUCUGUAUGUAGCCUCACUACUUUUAUUGCCUCACUACUGUUUUAUUUCUUUAACCAUUGUUCACCAAAUACCUUUUUUGCACUAUUGGUUAGAGCCUGUAAGUAAGCAUUUCACCUGUUAUAUUUGGUGCACGUGACAAAUAAACUUUGAUUUAAAUCAUUUUCCCUAAAAUAAAUAAGCAAGAAGAGCCGCUGGGCACAGAUGGCAAUUCAGCAUCUAUUCCGCGUUGGUUCAACGUAAUGUCAUUGAAAUGUGGAAACAACGUUGAUUCAAUCAGUGUGCACCCAGUGGGGAUUGAUGGGCACUUAUUUUUGCUCAGGAUAGCUCGCUGUGUGAACACACUGGCAAGAAAAAUUUGAGUUUGCUAUUCUAUAUUCUGGUGAAAAGCAAACUCAAAUUGUGUGACUUUUUAUUUUUUUAAUCGGGCAGGGCAGCUUUAACCAACAUCUCCAAUCACGUUUCAUUGAUUGGACUCCAGGUUAGAUGACUCCAAUUGGAGUCAUUAGCCUAGGGGUUCACAUACUUUUUCCAACCUACACGUUGUACGUUUAAAUUAUUUAUUCAAUAUAGACAAUAAAAAUACAAUAAUUUGUGUUAGUUUAAGCACACUGUUUGUCUAUUGUUGUGACUUAGAUGAAGAUCAGAUCAAAUUAUGACCAAUUUAUGCAGAAAUCCAGGUAAUUCCAAAGGGUUCACAUACUUUUUCUGGCCAUUGUAGCUAUCAACUUUGAUACUGCUUGAGAAGUUGUGACUUGUGGGAGCGUAACUUGAAUGAACGGCCAAUCAUAUUGCUCAAAUACAAAUAGCACAACUUUUCUGCGUGUAGUCUUCAAUGGUAGACUGACAGAGCAGGUAAAUGUUGAACUGGAAUGCAAAAAUGUGCUGAGAAGUUACGGACCUGGUCGGUGCUGCAGCUUUGAUAGUGGUGUGACAGCACCACACUAGAUUGAAAAGUACU
rnacentral:lncRNA from 1 species